rnacentral:rRNA from 1 species
AAAACUUACCAGGUCAAGACAUGGGCGUGAUUGACAGGCUAAUGACUUUUCUCGAUUCCAUGGAUGGUGGUGCAUGGUCGCACUUAGUUGGUGCAGUGAUUUGUCAGGUUUAUUCCGGUAACGAACGAGACCUCGGCCUUGUAAAUAGCUAUGCUGCUUACAGGGACAUUGGCGGCUACGCCAAGGAAGCUCGAGGCAAUUGCAGAUCUGGAAUGCCCUUAGAUGUCCUGGGUCGCACGCGUGCUACAAUGACGCCACGAACGAGCUUGCGUGAUGAAAGUUACGCAUAAUCAGCAGUCGGCGUCUUAAGGGAUAGUCUCUUGUAACUGUGGGACUCCAACUAGGAAUGUCUCGUAAGCACAAGUCAACAUCUUGUGUUGAUUACGUCCCUGCUCUUUGUACACACCGCCCGUCGCUCCUACCGAUCGAGUGUUUAGGUGAAUUUGAUGGACGUAAGGAAGUCAAAUAAACCUGAGCACUAGAGAAGAGAAGUCUAGAUC